rnacentral:rRNA from 1 species
CCUACGGGGGGCAGCAGUGGGGAAUAUUGCACAAUGGGCGCAAGCCUGAUGCAGCCAUGCCGCGUGUGUGAAGAAGGCCUUCGGGUUGUAAAGCACUUUCAGCGGGGAGGAAGGCGUUAAGAUUAAUAACCUUGGCGAUUGACGUUACCCGCAGAAGAAGCACCGGCUAACUCCGUGCCAGCAGCCGCGGUAAUACGGAGGGUGCAAGCGUUAAUCGGAAUUACUGGGCGUAAAGCGCACGCAGGCGGUCUGUCAAGUCGGAUGUGAAAUCCCCGGGCUCAACCUGGGAACUGCAUUCGAAACUGGCAGGCUAGAGUCUUGUAGAGGGGGGUAGAAUUCCAGGUGUAGCGGUGAAAUGCGUAGAGAUCUGGAGGAAUACCGGUGGCGAAGGCGGCCCCCUGGACAAAGACUGACGCUCAGGUGCGAAAGCGUAGGGAGCAAACAGGAUUAGAUACCCGGGUAGUC